AACGAACGCUGGCGGCAUGCCUAACACAUGCAAGUCGAACGAGACCUUCGGGUCUAGUGGCGCACGAGUGCGUAACGCGUGGGAAUCUGCCCUUGGGUUCGGAAUAACAGCGAGAAAUUGCUGCUAAUACCGGAUGAUGACGUAAGUCCAAAGAUUUAUCGCCCAAGGAUGAGCCCGCGUAGGAUUAGCUAGUUGGUGAGGUAAAGGCUCACCAAGGCGACGAUCCUUAGCUGGUCUGAGAGGAUGAUCAGCCACACUGGGACUGAGACACGGCCCAGACUCCUACGGGAGGCAGCAGUGGGGAAUAUUGGACAAUGGGCGAAAGCCUGAUCCAGCAAUGCCGCGUGAGUGAUGAAGGCCUUAGGGUUGUAAAGCUCUUUUACCCGGGAUGAUAAUGACAGUACCGGGAGAAUAAGCUCCGGCUAACUCCGUGCCAGCAGCCGCGGU
rnacentral:rRNA from 1 species